rnacentral:rRNA from 1 species
GACGUAGGGCGCGAGCGUUGUCCGGAUUUAUUGGGCGUAAAGAGCUCGUAGGCGGCUUGUCGCGUCGUCCGUGAAAACCCACAGCUCAACUGUGGGCUUGCGGUCGAUACGGGCAGGCUAGAGUUCGGUAGGGGAGACUGGAAUUCCUGGUGUAGCGGUGAAAUGCGCAGAUAUCAGGAGGAACACCGGUGGCGAAGGCGGGUCUCUGGGCCAACACUGACGCUCAUGCACGAAAGCGUGGGGAGCAAACAGG